GAGGCAAAGCUGCCGUCGAGGAUUCAUUGAACGUAAUGGAGGAGGCAGCGGUUGCCGGUUCCGGUGUUUAAAGCCCCUUUUACGGGCACGGCGGUAGGGAUUAUUGCGUGCUAGUGUUCUUAAUGACACCACAAUGCAGUUCCAGGCCAAAUAGAGUUAAUUUAAAAGAUAAUUCAGUUUCUAAGCGAAACAGCGAUUUGACAAGUGCGAUUUUGCUACAAGCAGACUGAACUCAAGGCAACACACCAGUUACAGCUGAAGAAAGAGGAAAAGAAUAUCUGGUCCAGGGCAGAGGAGGCUUAUACAACUACCCUCACCCAGAGAGAUUGCAGUAUAAAAACAAUGCAGAAGGAGAUCAGCAAGCUGAUGAUGGAAAAACAGCUUGCACAGACAAACCCGACAACUGCACGCACCUGUUUGUCACCCUGGACCUCGGAGCCACCCUGCACCUAGAUUCCACGCCAACCCACAGCCACUCGGCCCACCCCCCUGACACUGUUGUUAUACCUACUGCCAUGAUGAAUGAAGCCCAGUCAAUGUCAUUGUCAUUUAUGCUUGAAACCAUCUCAUAUAUAAUAAAAUAGAAAUGAAUUAC